UCCAAUGUAAAGGGACUUUCCCUGGGGCAUGGCCUGCACCACCUUUUAUCUUACAAGAGAUAAAAGGAAAUGGAAGGAAGCAGAGAGUUGGGGACAUCAUACCACCAAGAAAGAAAUGCUGGGAGCAGAGUGCAUCCUUUGGACGUGACGUUCCUGUGCUGAGAUGCUCCCAGACCAAGGGAAGAUUGAUGACAAAGACCUUCCUCCAGAGCCAACAGAGAAAGAAAUCCUUCUCCUGGAGCCAGUGCCCCGAAUUCAAUCUUCUAGCCUACUGGACUGUGAGAGAAUAAACUUCUCUUUGUUAAAGACAUCCACUUGUGGUAUUUCUGAUACAGCAGCACUAGAUGACUAAGACUAUAUUUGGUACCAAGAGAGUGGCUGCUGCUCUAAUGAAUACCUAAAAUGCGGAAGCGGUUUUGAAACUGUGAAUGGAUAGAAGACUCAGAAGGAAGUGAGAACUGUUAACACGAGAGAAGGCGCAGGUGGUGAGAAAAGGCAGCAGUUAACUGGCAGCAGCAGGGAGCCGGCAGCCACAGAACCAGGAGACCAGCACAAGACAGAGGUGGGGGCAACCCACAGAGUGAGAAAUCUGAGUCCCUGUGAGCAAGAGGUUUCCUGGCAGAGUAGAGUGCCUCCAGGCACUUAUUGGUGGAGUUGCUGAUCUUUGGAACACUUGCCCCAGCAGGCCAGAUAUGGGCACGAGGCCAAGGAACACAGGAAGCCAAGCUGCCUCAGUCUCAAAAGAAAGAGGGCACAGGCCUUUUUCAGCAAGCUUUUCAAGGAACCCUGCCUAUUCCAGCAAUGGGAAGACAAACAGGCUGUGCUCACCACGUCCUUCCCCUCCUGUCUGACAACGUGUUGCCAUGCUAUAAAAGCCCUAAUGCCCAUUUUCAACGAUUAGCUGUGCAUCAGCAUUACCGCCACAAAUCCACAAGUUUCACAUCAAGCAUUAAAUGGGAUGAAUAUUGAUCUGCUAAAGAGGAUUUAUUUAUUUCUAGCUCUAUCCAAAGAUCAACUGCUAGCAGCUUUUGGGGGAUCUGCGAAGCUCUCACAGCACAAAGCUACUGCAUACAUGACACUGGACUUGACAUUUCAGUUCUGGAAGAAAACCAAACAGUAAAUUCAGUGCAAUAAUCCUAGAUAAAUGAGAUGAUCACUGGGAAAGCUGAGAUAGUUAAGUGGUCUAUCAGAGAAGUCCAACGGAUGGUAUUGAACAGUUGCUACAUAGAAUCCUCACUCAUGUCAAUAUGGUCUAAAGCACCAUCAUAUCAGAUGCCAAUAUAAUCACAUUAAAACAAUCUCUACCUCCUGCUUCGAUUUCUCUGCCUGUGUAUUUUUCUGGAUUUAUAAGUGGCUGUAAAUAAUGCACAAUAUGGCAAAAGUUGCAGUUUAAAGGCUAUGGGCAACAAUUGUUUUGAAUAUGUGCAAGCUGCAUUAGAACUUAGCAUAACGUAUAUGAAAUUAAAUCAAAUUGUGGUAUAUAGCACAUGAGAUGCAGCUCUGAGUUCUCACAAGUGGCACCAGAGAUGGUGGGUAGUAUUGUGCAAGUGAAAUCAGUCAUUUCUGAGAAACAAGGAAGGUUGAAUUCUGUCUUAAUUUCCAAGACUUGGAGACGCCUCCCUCUUUCUCCAAACGUGGAAUAUAUACUUCUGCUAUACCAUUCAAGUACUAUAAUUGUCUGAAAAUCAGAACUGGACAUGGGAUGAACCAAAUACAAAUUCAGUCCUUGCAUGAAUUCGGUGUUGCUGAGAGACUCAGUCCUUUGACGCAACAAAACUUUACUCCUACUCAUAUGGGCAUUUAAAAAGUAGUUUUAUAUCUCUGGUCAUCAGAAAUUCUGGAAAUGUGCACUCAUUCAAUUAAUUUAAUAGAAUUACAAUAAAUAACCAUUUACCUGUCUUUAUUCCAGUACCACAAAUUAAAAAAAAAAAAUCCAAACAAAAUUUUUUGUGACUAUAAACAUAAAAAAAUUCUUAAUUACCUAAUCCGACAUAUCAAACAAAUUCAUUCAGAAAUUCUGCAAGCUCGGUACUAUACCCACAAAAAUAAUUUAUAAUAAAGAU